GCGUUCUCAACCUUAAGCCAAUGCACAUUUAUAGAACAAUUCCAUGUGAUCCUGAGGAAGGCGGACUUCAGGCGGAGGGCAGUGCUGAAAAGUUGUAAUCUCGAGAGAGAGGACUCUUCCCUCUUGCUGCUCUUCAUGCUAAGAGGACACUGGUGGCCUCUGAAAACAUUCUGACGGACACUGGGCACCCUGAGUCACCAUGGGCAAUGAGAACAGCACCUUGGACCACCAGCAAGAGGACGACGGCUUGCAUGAUGUCAUCCUGUGGCCUCCAAACCCUGAUCCUCUGCAGAGGACUUCAUCAGCUCAGAGUCCAAGAUCCAUGCAGCCACCUGGGGAAAAGAAGCACGGAGAUUCUCCCAGAAGCCCUGACGGUGGGGACUUGUCCAGCAGCACUCCAGACUGUUUAACUUCAUAGUCAACUGAAAAUGGGAAAGAUCAAGGCUUCCAAGGGGCUUAAUCUGAGGCCAAGUGGGGUGUGUGUUCCAGAGAGCAGGCUAUGUUGGCACUGGACCGUGAAACAGAGGAUUCAGACAGCAGUUCCUCAAGCCAAGGAGCCUGGUGGAUUAAUUCCAGAAGUCAACAAGACCACACGGUGGCAAUGGAACAUGGCCAGCACAGAUGUGGCUCAUUCAUCAGUGGUUCCUCAUUAUGGUCCACAGCCAGGCCCUGGUUUCCUGCCAUGGCUCCCUGCAGGAACUCUCUCCGCAGUAUCCUACACCCAUAGUUUUGGGGGUACUCACGAGCAGAGGGCCAGUGGACUUACGUGAUCAGUUCCCAGCAUGGACAUAGGCCAGGCACAUUGGAGCCAACUAGUAACUACUUGUGGGUUCAACUCAUGAGUAGGUCUUGGAUCUGGUUACCAUAACCCUUUUGAACAAUAAAAUCCAGCUUCCCAGAGCCUAUAAUUACAGGCAUUAAGGGAACAAACUAGAGCUCUAUGCAACAAAACUUAAAUGAUAAGCCCCUUGUCAUAGUGAAGCUUUGGGUCACUCACAGCAGGCUUCAUAAUAGCUUUUCAAAACCUUCAGACUCAAAGUGACUUUUUUUUUUUUUUUUUUUUUUUUGCUUUCGGGAACAUAAGAGCGACCUCUGGUGGCAGAAAUUCCCAUGCCAGGGGUUAUCACUUUUGGGUGUCUUAGGUUAUGUGGUUUCUGGAGGAAAUACUUGGAACCUCUUGGCAUGAACAUUAGGUAAAUAGUAAUCAGAUGGGACAGGGUGUUCUGUUUUGUUGAGUGAGUCACAGAAUGAUGCCUUGAACAUCACCUUUGACCCCUGUCCUAUGCUAGCAGUAGGACCCCCUUCCCUUCCCACAUCUCUUCAGCUGUUCCUGUCCUUAAACCCUUUACCAUGGUAACAGAACAAAGGUUUUUGUAUUUAGUUUUAACCAGACCUCUAAGUUGGUUCUGAUGAUCAUAAAACUAACAGAUGAGUUUAUGAUCUCUGGAAUCCCUUGCAAGGGAAACUACUGCUGGCUCAGACCCAAGGUCUUGCUCUUCCCUCUCCAUCUUCGUGGGGUCCUGGGACCUCUUAGGAGACUCAGGGAAUUGUUCAGGGCCUGCAUCACAACUGGACUAAAGAACAACAGCAGCUCAAAGGUCUUUUGUUGCUUGUUCCUCAGCUUUAGUCAAUUAUUAUUUUCCUUUGAAGAAGAAUCACCUCUCAUUGGCAUGCAAAUUGAGAAUAAAAGAAGUGCCUUCCAAGAACAAGCCUAAAGAAGCAACUUCCUGUUCACAAUUGAAAACAGGAUUGUCCUCAAUAAAUGUGUACAUGUCCACAGUGCAAGGCCCUGUGCCUAGUAACUCAGACACUAUUGAGAACAGGCGGCCUCCCUCCUCUCCAGGGAUUUGCGCUGAGUCUGUCCUGAAGUUGAGAUGUUUGUAGGAGAGAUGGGGCACAGCUCCUGAGUCAUGCCAGCCUUAGCAUUAACCAAAGAUAACAAUAGCAUUUAAUGUUCAUUCUGCAUCUGGGUGCCAGACAUCAUGACAAAUGUUAUAUGUGUACAAAGUAAAAUUUUGUCUUCUUUGAAGCGAUUCAAUUAUGCUUUGAGUCCUUACUCUGCCAGGCUGUUGGGGAUGCCCAUGGCAGCUGUCCUUGGGUCUCCCCUCUAUUAAACCCUGAUAUACUGAGGCUGUCAUCUGGCUCCUCUUCAUCCCGAGGGCCACCACCAAGAUGCCUGUAGGUCCAGCCAAACUGUCUGUCCAUCAGUCCCUGGGACUGACCUGCUUUCCUGCCAUCGUUGGCACAUGGAAAUCUUGGCUGAUCCUGGGAGUCCCUGCCCUUCCUGUUGGGGCUUUUCCUUCCCUGAUCAUUCCCCUCUCACACUGCCAGGAAGGCAGGGUGAGGUGCUCAGAUAGCCCCAUUGCUCAGGGUCCUUUCUCUAUUCUCCCACCCUCAAAUGCUUUUGUCUUCUCUGGUGGCUUCAUUGGACAACCAGCCUUUAGUCUCCAAAGGACACAGGAUUUUACAAAUGGUGGGAAAAGCCACUGACUCAAAUUGUUGCUAGUCAUAAAAACACCAGAGAGAGAAAAUGCAGAAGAGCCUACAGCGGCUAUCAGCUCACUGGGGGGGCACCGGAAGAAUCGGUCAGCCUUCCAUAUUCUUGGUUCCUGUAUCUGUGGAUUUAGCCAGUCAUGGAUCAGAAAUAUUUUGAAGAAAACUGCACCUGUAGUGAAUGCAUAAAGACUUUUCCCCUUGCAUUAUACCCUAAUCAAUACAGUAUGGCAACUAUUUAGAUUGUAUUGUUAAAAAUAAUCUGGAGAUGAUUUAAAAUAUUUGGGCAGAUGUACUAUGCUAAUGUGUACAAGGAGCUUGAGCACCCUUAAAUUUUGGUGUCAGCAGGGAGGGAUUCCCUAGAACCAAUACCCAGCCCAAACCAAGGGACCACUGAAUAGAAAGUCAGACAUUAAUAUUUCUAAAAGUUGUCCCUGUGCUGUCAGAGCUCCACUCCACAGAUGAGGAGACAGAGGCUCACUGCAUUAUGUAAUCUGCUUUAGCAGUAGGAAGGCCAUUGUUUUUCCUUGAGGCUCUUCUCUCCCUCUGAACUGUACUAGACUCUGGGGUUUACACAUCCUAAAAGGCAGUAAACUCUUCAUCCAAAUAGAAGCUGGGGUUUCAUCAGCUCAACUGCCCUGCUUCCUGGUUGCCACAUGGUGUCGCUGUUGUCAUUUAACCCUACAGAAGCUGGGGGCCUGCCUUCCUGAAGCCAUCCCUGGCAGGCCCAGAAUUCUUCAGGAACAAUGGUCCCACCCUCCCAGGGUGAAAGUUAACCUCCUAUGACACUCCUACUGCUCAGCAAUGUCCACCCCCACAUGACUGGCUUGCGUGCCUGUGUCUGGAUGGACUCCAGGCCUAGCAUCUUCUGGAGCCCCUUUUCUCUUUGGGUAUCAACAGGCAGGGAUGGGGCAUUUUCCUUUAAACCCUAUGAACACAACCAGUCUUACCAAACAACCUUUUCCCCCAGACAAUGGAACUGUUAAGUUGCACUAGAGAAAGUGACUGUUUCUGUGGGAGAAAGAUUGUCAGACACAGGCUACUUCCUGUGCUCCAGCAUCAUAUGUGGCAAGUAUGACGAGCUUCCAAGGAAGGCCCAAGCUGUACAGAUCACUGGCUUUUCUCUGGGAAGGACUCUAAAUUAUGUCUCAGGAACUCUCUGGCACUUUUGUUACUAAGGAGGGGGACACCCCACUGCUUGGGACUUAGAGUCUCAACCCCUGUCCAGUGGUUCUUAAAUGUGCAUGAACAUCAAGGGCAUCUGCAAGACUGGUUAAAAUGGACAUUUCUCCAGAGUGUGAUCUGGUAGGUCUGGGGCAAGGCCUCGCAAUGAGCAUUCCCAACAAAUGUCCAGGUGACACCAAGCUGUGGGCCCAGGACCACACUCUGAGGACGGGGGUGUGUGCCGUACAACUGUGUGGUUCAGAUCCAGAGGCCCUCUCGGAGGGCUGGACUGGAGGAAAAGAGUCUCCCAGCUGGGGUGGGGAGCCCUGGGCAUAGGGGCACCCCCAGAGGGCAGUGCAGGUGGAGGCCGAGCAGGAAGUGAGCAGAGACCAGGCUGGUGGGUGCUUACUGAAAACGAAGAUCUGCGCCAGAUUGGGGAGGUCCUGUAGGUUAGGUGAGGGGCUGAGAUUUUAUCCUGCAGUGCUUAUGUUCUUUUUGGUAUCGGGAUCAAACUCUGGGCCUUGUGCUUUUGAGGCAGGCAGCAGAACCAGUGAGCUAAAUCCCCGGCCCCGCUUGUGGUUUGUUUUUAAGCAAGGAUGAAGGCCGACAAGGAAAGAGUCAGAAGAGGAAUUUCGAGACCCUCACUUAGUACAGUGGAGAGUAGUAAGUGAUGUCCGGGCAGUGCAGGGAUGGUGGCCAGGAGACAAUCCCAAGGGAGGACCCAGGAAACCUGGUAACUACCUGGGUGUGGGUGGAAAAGGCGGAGUCAAAGAAGAUGCCAAGGUUCUGAACUGAGAACCCAAAAGAAAGAUCUAACUUCAGGAACUAGGCCAGUCAGGUGAGAGCUGCUUUGGGGACACUGAUCAGUGCAGACGUGGCAGGAGCCCCAGACUCGUCUGCUGGGACACUCUGGUCUGGCCUUUAUUUGAGCAGGCCCCUGGCGGUGGGGAGGAGUGACAGUUUAAUGAGGUGAUUAUGGCCCCAAAUCCUAUGAGAGCCUCAUGGUGGUUUCAAUUAUUUUUGCAAGUUAUUCUCAAAUAAGCCAGCUUAUUCCAGUGCUCUCAUUUUUGUUCUUUUAAAUUAUACUGAAGAGCACAGGAAGAGAUCCAGAGUGGGGUAGAUGAUGUAAAGUCGCCCAGACUCUGAGAUCAUAAGAUUUGCCUGGGUGUUUGGUGAAUGCAUCAGUUGCUACGCCCCUUCCCAGGCUGGCAGCAGCAUCGCCCCAUGUGGAGUAAGGAGCAGAGGGCCAGGAAAUGGUUAGCUACCUUAGCAGAAUUGCCUGGGGCACCCGUUAAAAUGCUCAUUCCUUGGCUUUUUCAGAAGACAAACUCCUACUGCGAACAAAAAUUCUUGAUGGUGCCUAAUAGCAGUUCAGAGGAAGGGCAGCCAAGUAGUUUGGAAAGUGAAAUAAUGUAUUCCACCAUCAAGGCAAGGGGGUGUCUUAUCCCUCACCUCCCACUGUCAUUAAGAGGACCAUGUCCGCUCCAUGCUAAACAUCUGCCCCCACCCACCCAGCCAGCAGCUCUGUUUGAAUGCGUGUAGAUGAUCCAAGGGGCCUUAUGAAGACACCAAAAUUCAGAGAAGUCAAGAAACUUGCCCUUGGUCACACAGACAGAACAGGGCAUGAUGGGAGCUAGAAUCCAACUUGGUUCGAUGCCAUCUAAAACCCAGAUUCAUACCAUAUGCCACCUCUUAUGGAGGUCUCACGGAAUUUGUGUUGUGGUCUCUGUAAUUGUAAAGUAAACCUCAGGCAACCGUUAACAUUUAAAAGUCAGUUCUCAGAAAGAGAGAAAAGAAACCCCAGAAAGAUCUGAUCUGUGAGUAGCAGGGCAGCUCUUAAAGACGAGCCCCAUUGCCACGGUGCUGGGUUCUUCCAAAGUUUUGUGAGCUCCCAGAUCCACUUGCUUGCUCUCACUAAGACAAGGAGCUUCUGCCCUCCUUGUUCUGUUUCUGACUCAUUAUUUACUUCUCGCUGGAGACAAACGUAGAGCAGGAGAGAGGGAGGGAAGGAGAGAGAUCCUCACUUUCAACACUGGCUGAAACAUCAUGGCUGAAGUAGGUAUGCAUCUGCUUUCUGCUCAUCUGGUUCAACAGGGUGUGUUCAGCUUUAAAAUGAAGGGGAAAGGAGCAUUUCCCCACCAUAUGACUCAUUUAUUCUAACAGCUUGGAACAUGGGCAAAAGUGGAGUGUAGAGGGGGAAUAAUAUUACCAACAGUCCUAACACCUGCAGGCAACUGCUCUUAAAAUAUUAACGAUUUUCCCUCACACUUUUCUGGGUUUUCAAUGUAGUUCUUUCUUGAUUGUGAGAUGGCUACAUUUUAAAUAUAAACAUACAUAUCUACAUGUAUACACAUACACACACACUGCAUAUAUAUGUGCUUUUUAAAUAACCAGCUAUUUUUAAAGUGGUUUUAGACUUACAGAAAAAUUAAGCAGAGUUUCCAUGUACCUGCCCUUCUUCCUCCACACAAUUUCUGCUACUAUUAAUAAGUUGUAUUUAUAUGGUAUAUUGGGCCAGGUAUGGUGGUGCACACCUAUAAUGCCAG
ensembl:lncRNA